CCCUUAGAUGUUCUGGGCCGCACGCGUACUACACUGAGUAAAUCAAUGGGUAAGGGAACACGAAAGUGCAACCUAAUCUUCAAAUUUGCUCGUGAUGGGGAUCGACGGUUGCAAUUUUCCGUCGUGAACGAGGAAUACCUUGUAGGCGCGUGUCAUCAUCACGCGCCGAAUACGUCCCUGCCCUUUGUACACACCGCCCGUCGCUCCUACCGAUUGAGUGAUCCGGUGAGGCUCUGGGACCUGGACGGAAAGAGCGUUUCGCUUGUUCUGUUUGGGAAACUUGGUCGAACCUUAUCAUUUAGAGGAAGGAGAAGUCGUAACA
rnacentral:rRNA from 1 species